CAGUCGCCGCGGUAAUACAGAGGGUGCAAUCGUUAAUCGGAAUUACUGGGCGUAAAGCGCGCGUAGGUGGUUUGUUAAGUUGGAUGUGAAAUCCCCGGGCUCAACCUGGGAACUGCAUCCAAAACUGGCAAGCUAGAGUAUGGUAGAGGGUGGUGGAAUUUCCUGUGUAGCGGUGAAAUGCGUAGAUAUAGGAAGGAACACCAGUGGCGAAGGCGACCACCUGGACUGAUACUGACACUGAGGUGCGAAAGCGUGGGGAGCAAACAGGAUUAGAUACCCGUGUAGUCCCUGUCUCUUAUAC
rnacentral:rRNA from 1 species